rnacentral:rRNA from 1 species
AUUGAACGCUGGCGGCAGGCCUAACACAUGCAAGUCGAACGGUAACAGGAAGAAGCUUGCUUCUUUGCUGACGAGUGGCGGACGGGUGAGUAAUGUCUGGGAAACUGCCUGAUGGAGGGGGAUAACUACUGGAAACGGUAGCUAAUACCGCAUAACGUCGCCAGACCAAAGAGGGGGACCUUCGGGCCUCUUGCCAUCGGAUGUGCCCAGAUGGGAUUAGCUAGUAGGUGGGGUAACGGCUCACCUAGGCGACGAUCCCUAGCUGGUCUGAGAGGAUGACCAGCCACACUGGAACUGAGACACGGUCCAGACUCCUACGGGAGGCAGCAGUGGGGAAUAUUGCACAAUGGGCGCAAGCCUGAUGCAGCCAUGCCGCGUGUAUGAAGAAGGCCUUCGGGUUGUAAAGUACUUUCAGCGGGGAGGAAGGGAGUAAAGUUAAUACCUUUGCUCAUUGACGUUACCCGCAGAAGAAGCACCGGCUAACUCCGUG